rnacentral:rRNA from 1 species
AUUGAACGCUGGCGGCAUGCCUAACACAUGCAAGUCGAACGAGUGGCGGACGGGUGAGUCAUGUCUGGGAACCUGCCUGAUGGAGGGGGAUACCUACUGGAACCGGUAGCUAAUACCGCAUACCAUCGGAUGUGCCCAGAUGGGAUUAGCUAGUAGGUGGGGUAAAGGCUCACCUAGGCGACGAUCCCUAGCUGGUCUGAGAGGAUGAGCAGACACACUGGAACUGAGACACGGUCCAGACUCCUACGGGAGGCAGCAGUGGGGAAUAUUGCACAAUGGGCGAAAGCCUGAUGGAGCAAUGCCGCGUGUAUGAAGAAGGCCUUCGGGUUGUAAAGUACUGUCAUCGGGGAGGCGUUACCCGCAGAAAAAGCACCGGCUAACUACGUGCCAGCAGCCGCGGUAAUAC